rnacentral:rRNA from 1 species
GACGAACGCUGGCGGCGUGCUUAACACAUGCAAGUCGAACGGAAAGGCCCUGCUUUUGUGGGGUGCUCGAGUGGCGAACGGGUGAGUAACACGUGAGUAACCUGCCAUUGACUUUGGGAUAACUUCAGGCAACUGGGGCUCAUACCGGAUAGGAGCUCUUGCUGCUUGGUGGGGGCUGGUAAGUUUCGGCGGUUGGGGAUGGACUCGCGGCCUAUCAGCUUGUUGGUGGGGUAGUGGCUUACCAAGGCUUUGACGGGUAGCCGGCCUGAGAGGGUGACCGGCCACAUUGGGACUGAGAUGCGACACAGACUCCUAUGGGAGGCAGCAGUGCGGAAUAUUGCACAAUGGGCGGGAGCCUGAUGCAGCAACGCCACGUGCGGGAUGACGGCCUUCGGGUUGGAUUGCGCUUUCGCCUGUGACGAGGCGUGAGUGACGGUAAUGGGUGAAGAAGCUCCGGCUAACUACGUG